rnacentral:rRNA from 1 species
GACGAACGCUGGCGGCAUGCCUAAUACAUGCAAGUCGAGCGAACAGAUGAAGUGCUUGCACUUCUGACGUUAGCGGCGAACGGGUGAGUAACACGUAAGGAAUCUACCUAUAAGCGGGGGAUAACAUUCGGAAGCGGGUGCUAAUACCGCAUAAUAUCUUCUUCCGCAUGGAAGAAGAUUGCAAGACGGCUCUGCUGUCACUUAUAGAUGACCUUGCGGUGCAUUAGUUAGUUGGUGGGGUAACGGCCUACCAAGACGAUGAUGCAUAGCCGACGUGACAAGAUGAUCGACCACAUUGCAACGGAGACACGGCCGAAACUCCUACGGGAGGCAGAAGUAGGCAAUCUUCCGCAAUGAGCGAAAGCCUGACGGAGCAAUGCCGCGUGAGUGCAGAAGCCCUUCGGGUCGUAAAACUCUGUUAUAAGAGAAGAACAAAUUGUAGAGUAACUGCUACAGUCUUGACGGUAUCUUAUCAGAAAGCCACGGCUAACUACGUGCCAGCACCCGCGGUAA